rnacentral:misc_RNA from 1 species
GAAGUGCGAAAAGUGUCAUGACUUGCAGAUUCCCGAGAGCUGACAAAUCUCUGAAUGCAAAUGGCGGCCGCUCGACACGGCCAUGGAUUGCAGAGUGUAGUGGUUCCGACUCUUCAUCCCUCCUUGCCUCAGUCAAUCUCUUGAGUGACCCAAGGGCACGGGCAUCUGCGCUUGCCGAACGGCGAGUGUGAAAAGGCGAGUUAAGGGGUCUUUUCCUCACAAGGGAAGGCCUCUUAGCUACGGACGAUCUAACAAUCCGUCUCAUAUUAUUUCUUUUAACCCCACCUCUGCAAUGCAGGAUGACCCGCUGAACUUAA